rnacentral:piRNA from 1 species
GAGAAGGAACAGAAGAAAGGGAAG